rnacentral:rRNA from 1 species
GACGAACGCUGGCGGCGUGCUUCACAAAUGCAAGUCGAACGCAAAGGCCCUGCUUUUGUGGGGUGCUCGAGUGGCGAACGGGUGAGUAACACGUGAGUAACCUGCCCUUGACUUUGGGAUAACUUCAGGAAACUGGGGCUAAUACCGGAUAGGAGCUCCUGCUGCAUGGUGGGGGUUGGAAAGUUUCGGCGGUUGGGGAUGGACUCGCGGCUUAUCAGCUUGUUGGUGGGGUAGUGGCUUACCAAGGCUUUGACGGGUAGCCGGCCUGAGAGGGUGACCGGCCACAUUGGGACUGAGAUACGGCCCAGACUCCUACGGGAGGCAGCAGUGGGGAAUAUUGCACAAUGGGCGGAAGCCUGAUGCAGCAACGCCGCGUGCGGGAUGACGGCCUUCGGGUUGUAAACCGCUUUCGCCUGUGACGAAGCGUGAGUGACGGUAAUGGGUAAAGAAGCACCGGCUAACUACGUG